UACGUAGGGACCGAGCGUUGUCCGGAAUCAUUGGGCGUAAAGAGCGUGUAGGCGGCCUUUUAAGUCCUGCGUGAAAUCCUGCGGCUCAACCGCAGACGGUCGUGGGAAACUGGAAGGCUAGAGUGCGGGAGAGGAGAGUGGAAUUCCCGGUGUAGCGGUGAAAUGCGCAGAUAUCGGGAAGAACACCCGUGGCGAAGGCGGCUCUCUGGAACGGUACUGACGCUGAGACGCGAAAGCGUGGGGAGCGAACAGG
rnacentral:rRNA from 1 species